GACGAACGCUGGCGGCGUGCUUAACACAUGCAAGUCGAACGAUGAACCCGGAGCUUGCUCCGGUGGAUUAGUGGCGAACGGGUGAGUAACACGUGAGUAACCUGCCCUUCACUCUGGGAUAACUGCGGGAAACUGUAGCUAAUACCGGAUACGACCCUCGGCGGCAUCGCCAGGGGGUGGAAAGAAUUUCGGUCAAGGAUGGACUCGCGGCCUAUCAGCUAGUUGGUGAGGUAACGGCUCACCAAGGCGACGACGGGUAGCCGGCCUGAGAGGGUGACGGGUCACACGGGGGAUGAGACACGGCCAAGACUCCUACGGGAGGCAGCAGUGGGGAAUAUUGCACAAUGGGAGCAUGCCUGAUGCAGCAACGCCGCGUGAGGGAUGACGGCCUUCGGGUUGUAAACCUCUUUUAGUAGGGAAGAAGCGAAAGUGACGGUACCUGCAGAAAAAGCACCGGCUAACUACGUGCCAGCAGCCGCAGUAA
rnacentral:rRNA from 1 species